ACCUGCCCUAUGAUUAAAAAUUAAAUGGCUGCGGUAUUUUGACCGUGCAAAGGUAGCAUAAUCAUUAGUUUUUUAAUUGGGAACUGGUAUGAAAGGUCGAACGAAAAAGAGACUGUCUCAAUUUAAUUUAAAUUAGAAUUUUAUUUUUAAGUAAAAAAGCUUAAAUAUAUUUAAAAGACGAGAAGACCCUAUAGAGUUUUAUAUCUAGAUGAUUAUAUAGGAAAUUAAAGGAUUAGUUUUUUUUUAUAAUUAUUAAAAUAUUUGGUUGGGGCGAUUAAAAAAUUUAAUAAACUUUUUUUAAAUUAUAACAUUGAUUUAUGAAUAAGUGAUCCAUAUUUAAUGAUUAUAAGAUUA
rnacentral:rRNA from 1 species